rnacentral:rRNA from 1 species
AACGAACGCUGGCGGCAUGCCUAACACAUGCAAGUCGAACGAGACCUUCGGGUCUAGUGGCGCACGGGUGCGUAACGCGUGGGAACCUGCCCUUAGGUUCGGAAUAACUCCCCGAAAGGGGUGCUAAUACCGGAUAAUGUCUUCGGACCAAAGAUUUAUCGCCUUUGGAUGGGCCCGCGUUGGAUUAGCUAGUUGGUAGGGUAAAAGCCUACCAAGGCGACGAUCCAUAGCUGGUCUGAGAGGAUGAUCAGCCACACUGGGACUGAGACACGGCCCAGACUCCUACGGGAGGCAGAAGUGGGGAAUAAUGGACAAUGGGCGAAAGCAUGAUCCAGCAAUGCCGCGUGAGUGAUGAAGGCCUUAGGGUUGUAAAGCUCUUUUACCCGGGAUGAUAAUGACAGUACCGGGAGAAUAAGCUCCGGCUAACUACGUG